UGGGGAUGGGGAUGGGGAUGGGGAUGGGGAUGGGGGGUCACUGUGCAACUAACACCAUAAAAAAUUCCUUCCAUCACCAGAACGAUAUCCAUUCUAGCCAAAACGUUCAGGUUUUGUUUCUGAAUGGAAAUCUAAAAAGUUUUGGCUGGGAGUUGGACGGACAAGGGAGAGAAUGUCCCGGGUUGUAGCGCUCAAACUGACUUGCUUCUUACGUCCUUAUUUUUUCCUAAACUCCAGAACUUUACUUUAUGAAAACCAAGCUUUACCAACACAAAAAGCCACCUCUCCCCCUUUGCAGUCACAGUGCAAGAGCAGGAAACUUCUUCAUGUGAAAUUUCACGCGGUUUGCUAGCACGGCCCCGCUGCCAGCGCGCGACAGCUGCAUCGAUCCAAUUCGGGGCCGUUACUGUCUGCUGGAUCAAUGAUCAGCAAAGUAAAAAGUCACUUACUGCCCAUGACACGGGCUGUGUCGUUAGGA